AGCUUUGCGCAGUGGCAGUAUCGUAGCCAAUGAGGUUUAUCCGAGGCGUGAUUAUUGCUAAUUAAAAAAAGUAAAACAUUUAUGCAAGUUGAUGGAGUAAUUUACCCAACAAACCUCUUUGCAGAUGACAUCUUGUCA